rnacentral:lncRNA from 1 species
UGCAGAGUUGCCACAAACAUUAAAUUUGUAAAAAAUGCAAGAUUUACAAAGUGCAAUAAAGUGAUGUGUAACAAAAUGAGGUAUGUCUAUAUGGUAUUAUUUAGGGAAUAAUGACACAGAAAAAAAGUCUAUACAUGUCCAGUGCAGAUGGAUUUUUAAAAAAUAUUUUCAAUUUUGAAUUCACAGAUGAAGAACUCGUGGAUAUGGAAGACCAGUUGUGUUCAUCCUCCAUCUGGGAUAAUCCCUUUUUUUUCAGAGUACAUCUCAUUUCCAAGUGGCUGUUGCGCUGCUGUUUGCCCCCACUCCUUCAGUGCGACAGCCUCAGAGCUGGUAGGGAGACAGCAUGCCACUGGAGGAGAUGGAAGAUUGAGAGCAGAGUGCAAGAAUGGGAAGAGGGCUUCGUGCCCUGUGCACGUUUGCCACCUAGUGACCAAACUGAAUGGUGUGCUUCUCACCUCAGCCUGAUAGCCUGA